GUCCUCAGGAUCGCAUCUGGAGAGUUUCCAGUGCUCUACCAGUCUCGGUUACGAUAGGGAGAGUCAAGCAGAGGCCUGUCCAUUCCAUUUCUAGCUUGGCCAGUGGCUAGUUAGUGGAAGGCCAUCUGCUACAACA